rnacentral:rRNA from 1 species
CUGGGAGGACCAUCUCCUAAGGCUAAAUACUCUCUAGUGACCGAUAGUGAACCAGUACCGUGAGGGAAAGGUGAAAAGCACCCCGGAAGGGGAGUGAAAUAGAACCUGAAACCGUGUGCUUACAAGUAGUCAGAGCCCGUUAAUGGGUGAUGGCGUGCCUUUUGUAGAAUGAACCGGCGAGUUACGAUUUGAUGCAAGGUUAAGCAGUAAAUGUGGAGCCGUAGCGAAAGCGAGUCUGAAUAGGGCGUUUAGUAUUUGGUCGUAGACCCGAAACCAGGUGAUCUACCCUUGGUCAGGUUGAAGUUCAGGUAACACUGAAUGGAGGACCGAACCGACUUACGUUGAAAAGUGAGCGGAUGAACUGAGGGUAGCGGAGAAAUUCCAAUCGAACCUGGAGAUAGCUGGUUCUCUCCGAAAUAGCUUUAGGGCUAGCCUCAAGUGAUGAUUAUUGGAGGUAGAGCACUGUUUGGACGAGGGGCCCCUCUCGGGUUACCGAAUUCAGACAAACUCCGAAUGCCAAUUAAUUUAACUUGGGAGUCAGAACAUGGGUGAUAAGGUCCGUGUUCGAAAGGGAAACAGCCCAGACCACCAGCUAAGGUCCCAAAAUAUAUGUUAAGUGGAAAAGGAUGUGGCGUUGCCCAGACAACUAGGAUGUUGGCUUAGAAGCAGCCAUCAUUUAAAGAGUGCGUAAUAGCUCACUAGUCGAGUGACACUGCGCCGAAAAUGUACCGGGGCUAAACAUAUUACCGAAGCUGUGGAUUGUCCUUUGGACAAUGGUAGGAGAGCGUUCUAAGGGCGUUGAAGCAUGAUCGUAAGGACAUGUGGAGCGCUUAGAAGUGAGAAUGCCGGUGUGAGUAGCGAAAGACGGGUGAGAAUCCCGUCCACCGAUUGACUAAGGUUUCCAGAGGAAGGCUCGUCCGCUCUGGGUUAGUCGGGUCCUAAGCUGAGGCCGACAGGCGUAGGCGAUGGAUAACAGGUUGAUAUUCCUGUACCACCUAUAAUCGUUUUAAU